UUGUAAGUCAGAACUAUAGUAGGGCUUAC
rnacentral:piRNA from 1 species